GAAACGUUAGUCUAAUGAAAGACAGCUGAUUUCGACUCAGCAGACUAUGGUGCAAUUUCAUAAUGUUUC
rnacentral:tRNA from 1 species